CGUGCGACUUGCCUCGCGGACGGAGAUAGAGACGGCGGUUGGGUUCGGCUUCCACGGAGACAGAAUCGACGAUGGAGACGGCAGAUCGGCGCGCGGGCUGCAGCUGGGCUGCGGCGGGAAGAAAACGAAAGGGAAAGGAUCGGUGGGAGUCGCGGCGCACGGCGGAAGAAGGAAAUAGGGGCGGCGGUUGCUGGGCUGCGACGCAGAUCUGGACUGGGCACGAACGGAAGGAGAAGAGGAACGGAGAUGGCCGGCGGCGGUUGCUGCGCGAACGGAGAGAAGGGGAAGGUGGGUCGCACGACGCACGGGAGGAGAAGAGAAAUAGGGAAAAGAAAAGAAAAAGGAAAAGAAAAACAAAAUAUAUAUAUUUCUUUUUCUUUUCUUUUUAUUUAAAUUAAUUACAAAAUAUAUAUAUAUAUAUAUAUAUAUAUAUAUAUAUAUAUAUAUAUAUAUAAUAUAUAUACCUUUGGGGCAUUACACGUAGUAUAUAUGUAACAAAUCACAUAAUAUAUAUGUAUUAUGGAGUAGUAUAAAUGUAAUUAUUGAGCAAGAAAUUUCAACCAAUGAAAUUACACCACGUCGUCGCACCCAAGUUGUGAUGAUUAUAAUUUGAUUGGAUUUGGGUAGUCAAGUUUUCCAACCCAAUUCAAGCCCCUGAUAAAAAAUCAGGCCAAACAAAGGGGCCUAAGCCCACUAAAAAAAUGGGCCCAAGCCCAAGUCCAAGCUCAACAACUCAACAAGCAAAUGGGUCCAAGCCCACAUAAAGUCCACAAAUUUUCUCUAUAAGUAGAGACCUUUGUCAUUCAUUCGAGAGAUCUUUUGUUGAAGGAAGAAAUGAAGCUCUGAAGUACUGAAGCUUUGAAGAAUUGAAGAUUCAAACUUCUAUAGAGCUCUCAAGACGUGCAAGUUCUUAUCAACUUCGAGAUCAUCGUCUUCUGAAAUAUUGAAGACUUGGAAGAUCAAAAUUUCCUUGAAUUCCAGAAGACUGAAGCUGAAAUAGACCGAACCAUUUAAAUUCGGUUUGGACUAUUUGAGACAGCAACAAACUGUGUUUUUUGUUUUGUACAUAAAUGGUGUGGUUUGAUUCGGUUUUAACAAGCGGUUCAAUUUAUACCGUUUAGACUUGAUCUUAUAUAAUGUGAAAUUAUUUUUUUUCUUUGAAUCUUUAUCUAAGUGUACUCAAAUUGUAUACCAUGUUACAAAAUUGCAAUAAAUUUUUUAAAAUUUUCAAAAAUAUCAUAAAUUGACUAAUAUUUUAUACAAAUAUAGAGUAAAAAUGACCAAUUUACUCUUUUUAUUAUUAAUAAUAUAUUAAAAAUAAAAAGAAAAGUGAACCACGUUUAAGAUUUUCAUUUAUUAAAUAUUCUAUGAAAAUAUGGAUUAAAUUCUAUUAAAGUAAUAUUAAUAAUAAAAAUUGUCCUUAGUUUGCUUUUUAUGAUUUUAUUAAAAAAUUGUCCUUUUUUAUUUUGCAUAACUUUUCAUAUAUUUUAUAUAAUUAUAGUAUAUAUUGAAUAAUAUAAUGUAUAUUUUAUUAGUGAAAUGUUCUUAUAUCAAUUUAUUUAUUUAUUUUAUUUAAAUAUUCAUAUCUUACGUAGUAAAUAAUACAUUAUGUUUGAAAUAAUAUUAAUUAUAUAUGAAAGUUGUUUAUGUUUACAAGAACAUGAAUGAGAAAUAAUUAUGAUGAGUAUAUGUAAUAUACGUCAUUAAAAUAUUUGUUAUUCUCUAGUAUAUGUAAUAGGGGUGUUCAAAAUGAAGUUGAAAACUGAAUCGAAUCACUAAUCGAACCGAAAUCGAAUGCAUAUGGUUCGCUUCGAUUCGAUUUCUAUUUCAAAAAAACCACAUAAAAUUUGGUUCGGUUCAGUUUAAGAUGUUAAGAACCGAUUCUAAAAAAAAACCGAACUGAAUUGCUUUAUUUUAAAAACUAAAUAUAUAUAUGUUAAUAAUAAGACUUUUUUAGACUUCAAAACGGGUAUAGAGGCAAAAAUCAAUGAGAGGAACAAAAAGGAGAAGAAUGACAUAAUCAAAACGUAAAUGACAAGUUGUCUUGACGAAGUUUGUAUGACUGUAGGACUUUUAUUCAUCUUAGGUGGAUUUUAAAAAUUCUAUGUGUUGUUGGACUUUCAAAUUUCAAUGUUUGAAACAUCUAUGUCUGUAAUUUUGAAAUUUCUAUGUUUAUAACUUUGUAUAAGCCGUUCGGUUUUUUGAUUUGAUUUUAUUUAUGUAUAUGUGGUUCGGUUUUCAUUCGGUUUGGCAUAGAUGAGCGGUUCGGUUCGGUUUCAAUGAAGAUUUUUUUUAUCAUUUUGCGGUUCGAUGCGGUUUUAGCUUUAAACCGAAUCGCGAACACCACUAAUAUGUAAUGUUGAGAUCAACUGAAUAUGUUUGUAAUGUAGGGACUUUGAUGAAAGAAUUGAAGAUUCAGAAAAUUUUACGAAAAAAAUGGUUGAAUGUUAAAUUGACUUAUGAAUAGUGUAUAUGAAACAAUACAUUAUAUAUUUUAUGAAUGAAGUGUUAUGCAAUCAAUUUGUUAAACUGGUUUAUUUAUUUUAUUUCAAAUAUUUAUUUUAUAUGUAAUAAAUAAUAAGUUAUGUUUGAAACAGCAGUAUAAGGAUAUAUCAUAAUAUAUAUUGUUCAUUUAAGGUUAGUAAGAAUUUUAUAUUUUGUAUUUGAAAUAUACUAUGAUAUAUUGAGUACAUCAAAGAUGACAUCAUUUAUGUACUAUUGAAAAUAUGAAGUAGUAUAUAUAUGUAACAAAUCACAUAAGAUAUAUGUAUCAUGUACUAGUAUAUACGUCAUUAUUUAUAUAUACACACCUAAUGAAAAAAAGAAGAGUGUGUGGGACCCACGUAUAUAAAUAAUGAGAAAAUAAAAAAUGUUGGCCCAAUGUAAUAUAUAUAUAAAGUAAAAAAUAAACUAUGUAGGGUCCACUGCAUGAAAAUUGUGUAGGGGUACAAAACUUCACCUCAACUCACCUAUUUUUGUCAAUAGUUUUGCAUUCACCUACUUUUGACAUAUGUUUCAAAAUUUACAUUAUUUUUUAAAAAAAGUUCUAUACAUAAUAAAUAAUAACUCGUGAUUGAAACAAGAGUGGUUAUGUAUGAAGGAUAGUAUAUUAAAUAUAAUAAAUUGAAAAACUUUGAUUGGUACCGUAGAUGAAAAUUUAUGAAAAAAUAUAGAAAUAAAAUAACUAAAUUAAAAACUGAAAUAUGAAUAUUUCAAAUAAAAGUAUAAAUCAACAUACUAAAAGUUUAAUAAUAAGAAAGAAAAAUUAGUUCAAUAAGGAAAGCUUGCAUCUCUUUCGUUUAUGACAACCACAUUUAAAACUUCAUUUUAGAAUGAAUUCUAAUAUUUUUUUGUUGACCAACUGAACGUUUUACAUUCAAUGGGAUGAUGUCAACUUCAAUUACUGUAUCAUUGAAUAUAUGCAUUAGUAUGUAUGUAACAAAUCAAAUAAAAUACUAAUCGAAUAUAGAAAAAUAUAAAGAAAAUGAUACAAAACGUGAAGGAAAAAAACUGAACUAUAUAUGUGUCACAAAAUACGUGUUAUUAUAUUUAUAUAAAUGUAUAUAUUGAUAACAUCACCUGUCUAUGUAGUGAUAUUGUAAAGUCCCAAAGGUAAAAAUAUAUAUAUAUACAUUUUUUUUAAUUUUUAUAUAUAUAUAUAUAUUUUUUCUUUUAUUUUCUUUUUCUUUUCUUUUCUCUCUUCUCCUUCCUCCCCGUGCGUUCUCCUUCCCGUUCGCAGCAACCGCCGCCCCAUCUAUUCUCUUUUCGUUCGUGCGCAGCCGCAGUCCAACCGCCGCCCCUUCUUUUCUUUUCUUCCUCUUUCGUUCGACGUCGACGGUCAGGCCAAGCCAAACCGCAGCUGCAACCGUCGGCCGCCGUCUUUGUUGCGAAGCAAGGCCGCUGCGUGACCUUCCGCCCACCGCCGUGUGACCCUCUGUCCAGUUCUGCACCGCUAGAUCGAGCCGUCCACCGGUUUCGUCUAUUUCUGUCUCCGUUCACCGAAGCCGAACCCAACCGCCACCCUUUCUUUUCUUCUUCGAUCCAAAAACUGCCGCUGCAACGCGUCAGCCGCUGCGUGACCUCUGCCCAGCACCGCCGCGCAGCCUCUGUCUCUGCGCCGUUACCCAGAUCUGCGUCGCCGUGCCCCGUCCUAAUCGUCUCUGUCUCUGUCGAAGUUUUGUUGGUAAGAUUGAAGUCAUGAAAUUGUAGUCGUUUCCAAAACAAUUUAAGUAUGGGUUGUUAUGUUUUCAAGGUGUUCAAACGUUACGGAUGGGUUAAUUGACUAAUUUGAUAAAUUAUUCUUGAAGGUGUGAAAGGUAACUUUGGAUCACUUAAAUUCACAACCAAUUUGUGAAUUGUUGAGGGUUCAGUUCGCCAAUAUAUCGGUGAGUUGGAACUUACGUUGAGGAAAGUAAGUGAGAUAUGUAUCGUGAAAGUAAUUGAAUUUUGUGUUGUUGUGCUUAGGAUUGUUUCGAGGACGUUAGUUGAUUAAGGAGCUUCCCCAACUUUGAGGUAAGGGACUUUCUACUGGACUCACCUAAAGUUUUUUGAGUUGUGUUGGACUGUAUGGAUGAUGAUUAAGAUGUACAUGUUUGGUUGCAGACUAAAUGUUUAGUGUAUGUUGUAUUUGACUGGAAACAUAUAUAUAUAUACAUUGAUGUGUGAAUUGAUGUGGAUUGCCGAAAGUAUACAUGUGAAUGACUGAAAUUAUGCUUAUGUGUACAUGAUGAUAUUAAUAGAUUGUGCUGUAUAAAGAUUUGGAUGUGAACUAGUGAAUUUGUUUCGGUUGGAUGUGGAUUAUACUGAACUGUGGUUUGUGCUGGUGAACUGAGGGGUGUAUUGACUGUAUAGUUUGAUUGACUGACGUAUUAGUAUAUUAUUGACAGACAUAUGACUAAAGUGAGAUAAGUUGACUGUUAGGACGUUGAGAGAAAGAACUUUAUGUUUUGAAGUAACUGAAAGAUGGAUUGAAUGGAAUGAGGGGAUAAAUUGUUAGAUUGUAUUGGGAUGUUUACCUUGUAGGUGUCCCACGGGAUCACCAAUUUAUUUUGCACCUUCGGGAGCAUUUGACUGAUAUGUGUUUCUGCAGAACACUAGACUGAUAUGUACGUCCCUCGGGGCGUUAGACUGAUAUGUACGUCCCUCGGGGCGUUAGACUGAUAUGUACGUUCCUCGGGGCGUUAGACUGAGAUGUGUAUCCUACGGGAUCACAAGACUGCGACUGUACAGGGUGUCCCAAUAGAACUUUAACAAUUUAUUUUCCCCUGACGAGACCAGUAGAGGGUCUCUUACUGAGUAUUGUUAUACUCACCCUUCUUAUGUUUAAUUUUCAGGCAAAGGAAAUAAAGGUGGCAAACCGGCGAGGGGCAGGAAGGAAGCGUGAUUGUCAUAGGAAAUGUGUCAUUUUGCUUCCGCUUAUGGUUUCUUUUGAGGUUUAAGAUGUACUAAAACUUAGUUUACAAACUUUUAUUUCUAAAUAGUGUUAUUUUUAAGUUUUCUUGAAUAUUUGAAAAUCAGGCCUGACAUAAAUUGUUUUUAAAUUGACUUACGUUUCAUUUUGUAUCAACCAAAGUCUUUUGUUAAAAAUUAAUGACCUCGACUUACUUAUAAAAGUUGGAUCGUUACAGUUGGUAUCAGAGCCAGGUUUUAGGUUCUGUAGACUGACUUACGAUGUAAGUCUAUGUUUUUGUGUUCCUAUGGCUAACGCGACCCUUCGUCUCUCGUCAGGUAUGCUUGAUGCUUAUAUGUAUGGUUUAUUUGCAUGACCUUGCCUAAAUUAAACUAGAUUGCAUGACGAUAAAGACUUGCUUAUGUUUAUGAUUAAGAUUUUGUUAAAGAGUGUUGUUGUUGGAUAAUAGGAAUUAUGCCGCCAAGGGAAGAAGUACGUAGAGGAGGUCGUAGAGGCCGAGGUAGAGGAGCAGGAGGCCGAGGUAGAAGAGCAGGAGGCCGAGGUAGAGGAGCAGGUCGUAAUCAGCCUACUGAGGGUCAAGCUGAACAGCAAAUUCCUGCUGCACCCGUGACUCACGUUGAGUUUGAUGCACUGUCUGCUCACAUGGAGCAGAGGUUUACAGAACUUAUGACAGUUAUAGCUCAAAACCAGCAGGCACCUGCGGUUCCACCUGCACCUGUAGUUCCCCCUGCACCAGCAGCCCCUCCUGCACAAGAAUUACCUAACCAACUUUCUGCUGAGGCGAAACAUUUGAGGGACUUUCGGAAGUAUGACCCUCAGACGUUUGAUGGGUCACUGGAGGAUCCUACUAAAGCUGAAAUGUGGUUGUCCUAUGUGGAAACCAUAUUUAAUUACAUGAGAUGUCCCGAGGAGCACAGAGUUCAGUGUGCUGCUUUUCUACUGAGGGACAGAGGCAUUAUCUGGUGGAGGACUACAAUGCGCAUGCUAGGUGGAGAUGUGAGGCAGAUUACCUAGGAUCAGUUUAAGAACUGCUUCUAUACCAAGUUUUUCUCGGCUAACCUUAGAGACGCCAAAAGCCAGGAAUUCUUGGAGUGGAAGCAAGGAUAUAUGACAGUCGAGGAGUACGACCAGGAGUUUGAUAUGCUGUCACGUUUUGCCCCUGAGCUUGUUAGUAAUGAGCAGGCUAGAGCUGAUAGGUUCGUCAAGGGAUUGAGAGAUGAAAUUAGGGGCUUUGUGCGAGCACUAAAGCCCACUACCCAAGCUGAAGCACUGCGUCUGGCAUUGGAUAUGAGCAUUGGGAAGGAUGAAGUACAGCCAAGGAGCGUUGAUAAGGGAUCGUCGUCGGGUCAAAAGAGAAAAGUAGAGUAGAGAACUGUAGGAGUUCCUCAGAGGAACUUGAGACCAGGCGAUCCUUUUCGCAGUUUCCAGCAGAGUUCUGGCGGUGCAGGAGACACUACUCGAGAGAGGCCAGUAUGUAAUACGUGUGGGAAACGCCACCUGGGUCGUUGUUUGAUGGGAACGCGAGUCUGUUAUAAGUUCAAGCAAGAGGGACACAUGGCUGAUAGGUGUCCCUUGAGAUCUACUAGGGCUGGAUCGAGCAGUCAGGGAGAGAGACCUCCACAGCGGGGUACAAUCUUUGCCACUAAUAGAUCAGAGGCAGAGAAGGCCGGCACAGUAGUGACAGGUACAUUACCAGUGUUAGGGCAUUUUGCCUUGACCUUGUUUGACUCGGGAUCUUCUCAUUCAUUUAUUUCAUCGCUUUUUGUGACGCAUGCAUGCUUAGAGGUGGAACCCUUAGACUAUGUUUUGUCAGUGUCUACACCGUCUGGAGAAAUUAUGUUGUCUAAGGAAAAGAUUAAAGCAUGUGAAAUUGAGAUAGCUGGUCGUGUGCUGGACGUAACCUUGUUGGUAUUAGAUAUGCGUGACUUUGAUGUAAUUUUAGGUAUGGAUUGGCUAGCUACUAAUCAUGCUAGUAUUGAUUGUUCUCGUAAGGAAGUUGUGUUCAGUCCCCCUACUGCAUCUAGCUUUAAAUUCAAGGGGGUAGGAACAGUAGUACUGCCUAAAGUAAUCUCAGCUAUGAAAGCUAGUAAACUACUCAACCAAGGUACUUGGAGUAUUUUGGCAAGUGUGGUGGAUACUAGGGAAGGUGAGACUUCUUUAACUUCAGAACCUGUGGUAAGAGAAUGUUGGAUCGGUAUGGCAACCCUAGAGGGGGGUGAAUAGGGUUUAAAUAAACUUUUUGACAAAUAAAAAGUAAAAUCAACUAAUUAGAUAUUUUCUAAAAUUUAAAUAAAGAACUUUGUAAACUUUGUUAAAUAACAAGAUUGAUAAAAAGAUAUGAAUGGAAGUAUGCAAUCAAACUCAACCAAUAAUAAUAUGUAACUAAAAUUAAAUUAAAAAAUAAUUAGAAAAGAGUUAGAGAAGAAGACACCGUAAUUUUAUAGUGGUUCGGUUAAACUCAACCUACAUCCACUUUCCCAAGCACCCCUUGGGAUUUUGAUUAAAAAUCUUCUUUGGACUCUUUCCACGGAUUUGAGCCGAACCGAUUCUUGCUCCUUUUUCGGGUUCAAGAGCAAACCCGAUCCUUUCCACGGGUUAGGAUCCAACCGUUACAAUAUGAUGAAAUUUUUAAAUCACACAAAAGAAAACUCUAUAAAAGAGUGAGUAUACAAUUUGAAGCUCACAAAUUUAAUCCUCACAAUACAAUAAGAAGCUCUCAAGAAUAAGAUGAAAAGAAUAAAAAUUGGAAGCUUUAGAGAGAAUAACAAUGUUGGCUUUUUGCUUGAGGAUUGUAAAGAUGUUGUGAUCUUGUGUAAAUGUGAAGUAUUUAAAAAGAGAGGAAAGAUAAAUUCAAAAUCAUUUGGGUCAUUAGAUAUAAGUAAAAGAAAAAUGAAUGGUUGAGAUUUAAACUUAAUUAGCCGUUAGACACAAUACAAAUAAUAAUAUAAUAAUAUGUCUUUUCAAAAUAUUUUGUUUAAAAUGAAAUCAAUUAAGCAACUUCACCCUCUUUUAAAAAAACUAGCCGUUAGACACAAGAAAAAAUAAUAAUAUUAAAAUCAUUUUUCUUUUAAAUUCAUUUUCUUUAUAAAAGCCAAUAAAACAUAACAAAAAGCCACAUUUGUUACUCCUUCAUUGCUCCAAGUGACUUUCUCUAAUUGGUUCAAAUUGAAUGCUUGGUCGCCACGUCACCAUCUCGGGUAUUUUUCCGUUAACCUUCUUUUAGCAAUAUUUUCUUCAUUUGAACUUCGAUUUGGGUGAUUGAAGAGGCGUUAGAAUCAUUUUUCCAAGCUCUACGAUAUGGUCUAUUCAAAUUAAUAAAAUUGUCAAUAAAAAAAGUCAGAUUUGUUAUCAUCAAAACAUAAAUUAAUUGAAUAAUUAAAAAUAAAUUAAUUUGAGAUUAAGGGCCAAAAAGCCAACAAUCUCCCCCUUUUUGAUGAUGACAAAUCAUUUGAAGAAAAAUAACUUGAAACACACAUGAUCAACAAGUAAUUCUAUUAUCAAGAUGUAUAACCAUAAAGCUCAUGUAUAUAUUUCACCACAAAGAACAUACUUGAAAACAAUUGAUAAGAGAACCUUUUUUGUCCUUAAUUAAUUUUUUUUUCUCUAAAAAAAUAUGCAUUAUUCAAUAGAAACAAUUAUGCAACAAAUUGAUAAAAACAUAUUUUUCUUAUACUUCUCCCCCUUUGGAAUCAUCAAAAACAAUACCAAUGAAGUUAGCUCCCCAAAAAAAACAUGAACACAUACAAAAUGUCUAAUUCUCCCCCUAUCAAUAUGCAUUACGGUAACAAUAUCAAGUAAGAUAUAAAAUCAAGAUGCAUCCCAACGAAUAAUUCCAAGCUCAAGCCUAUUUUUACAAAAGCUUUCUUCACUCAAAGGUUUGGUAAAUAUAUCCGCUAAUUGAUUAUUGGAACUUACAAACUCAAGAGUAAUAUGACCAUUUUGUACAUGCUCUCUAAUAAAGUGAUGCCUAAUAUCUAUAUGCUUAGUUCUAGAAUGAUGAAUAGGAUUCUUAGUCAAAUUUAUGGCACUAGUAUUAUCACAAAAUAUAGGCACAUUAUCAAAUUUUAAUCCAAAAUCACAAAGAGUUUGUUUCAUCCAAAGAAUUUGUGCACAACAACUAGCAACCGCAAUAUAUUCCGCUUCGGUAGUGGAUAAGGCAACCGAAUUUUGCUUUUUACUAAACCAAGAUACUAAGGAACUACCAAGAAAUUGACAAGUCCCACUAGUACUUUUACGGUCAAGUAAACUACCGGCAAAGUCCGCAUCGGAAUAUCCUACCAAAUUAAACUCAACAUUUCUAGGAUACCAUAAUCCAACAUCAAUAGUUCCAAGCAAAUAUUUAAGUAUCCUUUUAACAGCAUGGAAAUGUGAUUCUUUAGGACAAGAUUGAAAUCUAGCACAAAGACAUACACUAAACAUGAUAUCGGGUCUACUAGCGGUCAAAUAAAGUAAAGAUCCAAUCAUACCUCGAUAAGUCUUUAUAUCCACACACUUACCUUUUUCAUCUUUGUCAAGCUUAGUGGUAGUGCUCAUAGGAGUUUUUGCAACUUUACCUUCAUUUAAUUUGAAUUUCUUGAGCAAAUCCCUUGUGUAUUUUUCUUGACUUAUGAAGAUGCCAUCCUUGAGUUGUUUGAUUUGAAGACCAAGGAAGAAACUAAGUUCUCCCAUCAUACUCAUCUCAAACUCAUUAUGCAUACACUUGGAAAAUUCUUCACACAAAGAUGAAUUAGUAGAACCAAAUAUAAUAUCAUCCACAUAAAUUUGUACUAUAAGCAUGUCAUUAUUUUUAACUUUAAUAAAUAGAGUAUUAUCAAUUUUUCCCAUCUUAAAGUCAUUCUCAAGUAAAAACUUGCUAAGUCUAUCAUACCAAGCUCUUGGAGCUUGUUUUAAGCCAUAAAGAGCCUUUUUCAACUUAUAAACAUGAUUAGGUAAAUCAAAACUUUCAAAGCCCGGAGGUUGUUCUACGUAAACUUCCUCCACAAUAUAACCGUUUAAAAAAGCACUUUUUACAUCCAUUUGAUACAAAAUGAAAUUUUUAUAAGAAGCAAAAGCAAGCAACAUUCUAAUAGCUUCUAAUCUAGCAACCGGUGCAAAAGUUUCUUCAUAAUCUAUACCUUCUUCUUGACAAUAACCUUGAGCUACAAGUCUAGCUUUAUUUCUAAUGAUAUUUCCAUUUUCAUCCAUCUUAUUUCUAAAAACCCAUUUAGUUCCGAUUAUAGAUGCAUUAGAAGGCCUAGGGACUAAUUUCCAAACUUUGUUUCUUUCAAAUUGAUUUAAUUCUUCUUGCAUAGCUAAAAUCCAAAACUCAUCACAUUCGGCAUCUUUAAAACUUCUAGGUUCAAUUUGAGACACAAAAGCAAGAUUACUAAAUAAAUUAAGAGAAGAACGAGUUUUGACACCUUGUUCGGGAUUGCCAAGAAUUAGAUCCUUGGGAUGGGAUAGAGCAUAUCUCCACUCUUUAGGCAAGGAUGAAGAACCCUCUUCUUUCUUCUCUAUGAUGUUCACAUCUUGCAUACUUGGAACAAUUUCUUUGCCUUUGUCAUUAACAAGUAAAUCUCCAAAAUCUUUUUCUAAAUCAUCACUACAAAUAGACUCAUUAGAAACAUUAUUCCAAGAUUCAUCAAAUACAACAUGAAUAGAUUCCUCAAUAACUAAAGUUUUCUUAUUGAAAACUCUAUAAGCUUUACUAGUAGAGGAAUAUCCUAGAAAAAUACCAACAUCCGUCUUAGAAUCAAAUUUUCCAAGUUUUUCUUUGUUAUUCAAAAUAAAACAUUUACAACCGAAAACUUUGAAAUACCCAAUAUUUGGAAUUUUUCCAUGCCAAAGUUCAUAAGGAGUUUUAUCUAAAGAUGGUCUAACUAAAACUCUAUUUGAAACAUAGCAAGCGGUGUUAACGGCUUCCGCCCAAAAAUAUUUAGGUAAACCAUACUCAUUCAACAUUGAUCUAGCAAAUUCUUGCAAAGUACGAUUUUUCCUUUCAACUACACCAUUUUGUUGAGGAGUUCUUGGAGAGGAAAAAUUAUGGGAAAAACCAUUUUCUUCACAAAAAGCUUUAAAAGCAUCAUUAUCAAAUUCUCCUCCGUGAUCACUCCUAAUUUUGGAAAUAAAAAAUCCUUUUUCAUUUUGUACUCUUUUUGCAAAACUAAUAAAACUUUUCAAAGCAUCAUCCUUAUGUUUUAUCAUCAAAACCCAAGUAAAUCUAGAAAAAUCAUCAACUAUCACAAAAGCAUAAUAAUUUCCUCCAUAGCUAGCAAUUCUAGAAGGGCCAAAUAAGUCCAUGUGUAAUAGUUGUAAGGGUCUAGUAGUAGAGAUCACAUUUUUAGAUUUGAAAGAGGACUUAGUUUGCUUACCCAUUUGACAAGCAUCACAAACUUUGUCUUUUUCAAAUUUAAAACUAGGAAGACCUCUAACCAAACAAUUUUUAGAAAUAUUUGAAAUUAAGUGCAUGCUAGCAUGUCCUAGUCUUCUAUGCCAUAACCAAGAAUCAUUAUGCAAAACCGAAAGACAUUUAUCAAUAAUAGGAUAAUCAUUCAAAUCAAGAGUGUACACAUUUUCAUCCCUAUUUCCAACAAACAAAACUUUUCUAUCACUAACAUUUUCAAUUAUGCAAUUUCUUUUAUCAAAUAUUACUCUAAAUCCUUUAUCACACAAUUGACUAAUACUAAGCAAAUCAUGCUUUAAACCAUCAACCAAAUGAACAUUUUCAAUCAAAGUAGAUGAAUCAUUUCCUAUAUUACCCUUACCAAUUAUUUUACCUUUCUUGUUGUCACCAAAGGUUACCAUGCCUCCAUUCUUUUUGGAGAAAGAGAUAAGCUUGGAUCGGUCUCCCGUCAUGUGUCUUGAGCAACCACUAUCCAAGUACCAUUUGUUUUUCUUGGAGGCUUUCAAACAAACCUAAAAACAACUAAUUUCAAGUUUGAUCCUUUGGUACCCAUACUUGUUUGGGUCCUAGAAUGUUAGCAUUUACAUAUUUAGGGAUCCAUUUCAUUUUUUCAUAGACAUUACAAGCACUAGAUCUAGAUAGGUAACAAGAAUAAGCUUUAUGUCCAUACUUGCCACAAGAAAAACAAACAACAUUAUGCAAAGAUUUAUUUUUCAUAACAAAUUUAUGUACUCUACUUUUAUUGGAGAAAUUCUUCCUUGGAGCAAUGUAAAACUUUGCUCUUUGCGAAAAAUUUCUUCUUGAAUAAGUAUUUUGAGCAUACUUCAAUUUAAAGCAUUUAGGUCUAAUGUGACCUUCAACACCACAAUUAUGACAUAUGGGUACAAAACUAGAUUUAACAUGAUUAGACACAUGAUUAGACAUGUUAAACUUAGGCACAAUAGGUGAUGCUUUAACGAAUGUAGUUUUAGAACUUGAAGGAGUAGAUGAUUCAUCAAUAUAGCCUAAACCUCUCUUAUCACCAUAAGAUUUUCCUACUUCAAUAAUUUUGUCCAAUCUUUGAGCACCUAUUGUCAACUUUUUAAUAGUUUCUUUAGCUUUAUCAAGUUCUUGUAAAACACUUAGUUCAUUUUCUUUAAGCACUUUAAUCAAGUUAUCUUUUUCACAACUAUCAUGCUCAAGAAAUCUAACUUUAUCAAGCAAAGCAUCUUUCUCAAUACAAACAUGCUUAUCACUAGAGACAUUCAAUUCUUCAAUUUGCUCAAAAUUUUCAUUCUCUUUAAAGCAAGCAAUUGUAUCAAGUAAAGACUUAUUUUCACUAAUUAAAACAUUGUAUUUCUUCUUAAGCACAACAUACUUAGAACUAAGUUUUUCUAGGUCAUUUUGCAUGCUUUCAAAAUUUUCAAAUAAUUCAUCAAUAGAAAGAGGUUCUAGAGUUACCUUAUCAUCAUGUUCAUCAUCUUUGUCACUAUGAGCCAUGAGACCAAGAUUUGCCAUUUCUUCAACUUCACUUUCACUUUCACUACUAUCAUCCCAUGUAGCCUUCAUUGCCUUCUUCUUGGAUUUCUUAGAUGAUUUGAGGAGAGGACAAUCCGUUCUUAUAUGACCCGAUCUUUUGCAUUCAUAACAAAUCACCUCAUCCUUUUUGCUUUUCUCACCUUUUGACUCUUUUUGGGUUGAUAGGUGUUUCUUGAAAUAUUUCUUUCUUUUUAUGAAAUUUUUGUACUUACGUGAGAAAUAAGCAAUGUCAUCUUCAUCAAGGCCAUCCUCAUCUUCGGGAUCAACUUCCAAGGAGAUAGUCUUUAAUGCAAUGCUCUUCUUCUUUUUGGACUCAUCCUCCAAGUGCUCCUUCAUGAUGAUCUCAUGAGUCAUGAGUGAGCCAAUAAGCUCCUCUAGUGGAAGUUUGGUGAGAUCCUUUGCUUCUUGAAUCGCCGUUACCUUAGCUUCCCAAGUCUUAGGUAGAGACCUUAGAAUUUUUCUAACAUUUUCGGAAGUUGUAUAAACUUUACCAAGACCCUUCAAAGCAUUUAUGAUGUUAGUAAAUCUAGUAAACAUAUCGGUGAUAGUCUCAUUAGCAUCCAUCUUAAACAAUUCAUAAUUAUGAACAAACAUGCUAAUUUUAGACUCUUUAACUUGAUUUGUUCCUUCAUGAGUAAUUUCAAGAGUAUUCCAAAUUUCUUGAGCGGAAGAACACAUGGAUAUUCUAUUAAAUUCAUCUUUACUCAAGGCACAAUACAAACAGUUAAUAGCCUUAGCAUUAAAUGAACACUUUUUCAUUUCAUUUUCAUCAUACUCUUCUUCUAAUUUAGGCGUAUCAACAUUAUCAACAUUUUUCAUGGGUACAUAAGGACCUUUAGCAACAAUUAACCACAAAUUAUAGUCAAUAGAUUGCAAAUAAAUUUUCAUUCUAGCUUUCCAAUAUGCAUAAUUUGAACCAUCAAAAUAAGGAGGUCUAGAAGUAGAUUGACCUUCAACAAUACCAUUUGCCAAUAGGUUUGCCAUAAUGCUCUAACAAUAAAGUUUAUCAAGAAAUUAAAAUUUCAAGAUGAGCAACCUCGCUCUGAUACCAAUUGUUGGAUCGGUAUGGCAACCCUAGAGGGGGGUGAAUAGGGUUUAAAUAAACUUUUUGACAAAUAAAAAGUAAAAUCAACUAAUUAGAUAUUUUCUAAAAUUUAAAUAAAGAACUUUGUAAACUUUGUUAAAUAACAAGAUUGAUAAAAAGAUAUGAAUGGAAGUAUGCAAUCAAACUCAACCAAUAAGAAUAUGUAACUAAAAUUAAAUUAAAAAAUAAUUAGAAAAGAGUUAGAGAAGAAGACACCGUAAUUUUAUAGUGGUUCGGUUAAACUCAACCUACAUCCACUUUCCCAAGCACCCCUUGGGAUUUUGAUUGAAAAUCUUCUUUGGACUCUUUCCACGGAUUUGAGCCGAACCGAUUCUUGCUCCUUUUUCGGGUUCAAGAGCAAACCCGAUCCUUUCCACGGGUUAGGAUCCAACCGUUACAAUAUGUUGAAAUUUUUAAAUCACACAAAAGAAAACUCUCUAAAAGAGUGAGUAUACAAUUUGAAGCUCACAAAUUUAAUCCUCACAAUACAAUAAGAAGCUCUCAAGAAUAAGAUGAAAAGAAUAAAAAUUGGAAGCUUUAGAGAGAAUAACAAUGUUGGCUUUUUGCUUGAGGAUUGUAAAGAUAUUGUGAUCUUGUGUAAAUGUGAAGUAUUUAAAAAGAGAGGAAAGAUAAAUUCAAAAUCAUUUGGGUCAUUAGAUAUAAGUAAAAGAAAAAUGAAUGGUUGAGAUUUAAACUUAAUUAGCCGUUAGACACAAUACAAAUAAUAAUAUAAUAAUAUGUCUUUUCAAAAUAUUUUGUUUAAAAAGAAAUCAAUAAAGCAACUUCACCCUCUUUUAAAAAAACUAGCCGUUAGACACAAGAAAAAAUAAUAAUAUUAAAAUCAUUUUUCUUUUAAAUUCAUUUUCUUUAUAAAAGCCAAUAAAACAUAACAAAAAGCCACAUUUGUUACUCCUUCAUUGCUCCAAGUGGCUUUCUCUAAUUGGUUCAAAUUGAAUGCUUGGUCGCCACGUCACCAUCUCGGGUAUUUUUCCGUUAAGCUUCUUUUAGCAAUAUUUUCUUCAUUUGAACUUCGAUUUGGGUGAUUCAAGAGGCGUUAGAAUCAUUUUUCCAAGCUCUACGAUAUGGUCUAUUCAAAUUAAUAAAAUUGUCAAUAAAAAAAGUCAGAUUUGUUAUCAUCAAAACAUAAAUUAAUUGAAUAAUUAAAAUAAAUUAAUUUGAGAUUAAGGGCCAAAAAGCCAACAGAGAAUACCCAGAUGUGUUUCCAAAAGAUCUUCCAGGACUACCGCCACAUAGAGAGGUUGAUUUUGCCAUUGAGUUGGAGCCAAACACUACUCCUAUUUCUAGAGCCCCUUAUAGGAUGGCUCCUGCUGAGUUGAAAGAACUGAAGGUACAGUUACAGGAAUUGCUUGACAAAGGCUUUAUUCGACCUAGUGUGUCACCUUGGGGUGCACCAGUAUUGUUUGUGAAGAAGAAGGAUGGGUUGAUGCGUCUUUGCAUUGACUAUAGAGAGUUGAAUAAAGCAACAGUCAAGAACAGAUAUCCUUUACCCAGAAUCGAUGAUUUGUUCGAUCAGUUACAGGGAGCCACGGUGUUCUCUAAGAUUGACUUACGGUCAGGUUAUCACCAGUUGAGGAUUAGAGACCGUGAUAUUCCUAAGACUUCUUUUCGUUCGAGGUAUGGACAUUAUGAAUUCAUAGUAAUGUCUUUUGGUUUGACUAAUGCACCUGCUGUAUUUAUGGAUUUGAUGAACAUAGUGUUUAAGGAUUUCUUGGAUACUUUUGUGAUAGUCUUCAUUGAUGAUAUUUUGGUUUAUUCCAAGACUGAAGCCGAACAUGAGGAACACUUACAUAAGGUGUUAGAGACUCUUCGAGUCAAUAAACUGUAUGCUAAGUUCUCUAAGUGCAAAUUUUGGUUGAAGCAGGUGGCUUUCUUGGUCAUGUGGUUUCCAGUGAGGGAGUUUCAGUAGACCCUGCAAAGAUAGAAGCGGUUACCAGUUGGUCUCGACCCUCUACAGUUGGUGAGGUUCGUAGUUUUCUGGGUUUAGCAGGGUACUACCGGAGGUUUGUGGAGGAUUUUUCAUGUUUGGCUACUCCUUUGGCUCAGUUGACAAGGAAGGGAACUCUGUUUGUUUGGAGUCCAGCUUGCGAGGACAAUUUUCAGAACUUAAAGCAAAGGUUAGUUACUGCACCGGUCCUUACUGUACCAGAUGGAUCUGGAAGUUUUGUGAUUUACAGUGAUGCUUCCAAGAAAGGACUGGGUUGUGUUUUGAUGCAGAAAGGUAAGGUGGUUGCUUAUGCCUCUCGUCAGUUGAAGAGUCACGAGCAGAACUACCCCACACAUGAUUUGGAGUUGGCAGCAGUGGUUUUUGCAUUGAAGAUAUGGAGACAUUACUUGUACGGUGAAAAGAUACAAAUCUUUACUGACCAUAAGAGCCUAAAGUACUUCCUCACUCAGAAGGAGUUGAAUAUGAGACAGCGAAGGUGGCUCGAGUUGGUAAAAGAUUAUGACUGUGAGAUAUUGUACCAUCCUGGUAAGGCGAAUGUGGUGGCUGAUGCUCUUAGUAGAAAAGUAUCACAUUCGGCAGCACUCAUUACUAGACAGGUACCAUUGCAUCGAGACUUGGAGAGAGCUGAGAUUGCAGUGUCUGUGGGGAGAGUCACCUCACAGCUGGCUCAAUUAACAGUGCAACCGACUCUGAGGCAGAAGAUUGUUGAUGCUCAGAGUAGUGAUCCUUAUUUGAUGGAGAGACGUCGCCUUGUUGAAACAGGGCAGACUGAUGAGUUCUCCAUAUCCUCUGAUGGUGGGUUGAUGUUUGAAAGACGUUUGUGUGUGCCAGCGAACAGUACAGUUAAGAUUGACUUACUAGAUGAAGCCCAUAAUUCCCCAUUUUCAAUGCAUUCUGGUAGCACGAAAAUGUAUCAGGAUCUAAAACGAUUUUAUUGGUGGCGGAAUAUGAAAAGGGAAGUGGCGGAAUUUGUUAGUAAGUGUCUAGUAUGUCAGCAAGUUAAGGCACCUAGACAGAAACCAGCAGGUUUCUUACAACCCUUAAGUGUGCCAGAGUGGAAGUGGGAGAAUGUGUCGAUGAAUUUUAUUUCAGGGCUGCCUAAGACCCUGAAGGGUUUCACAGUGAUUUUGGUUGUCAUAGACAGGCUUACGAAAUCGGCACAUUUUGUACCAGGGAAAUCCACUUAUACUGCUAGUAAGUGGGCAGAGUUGUAUUUAACUGAGAUUGUGAGACUUCAUGGAGUGCCUGUAUCGAUUGUUUCUGAUAGGGAUGCACGGUUUACUUCCAAGUUUUGGAAGGGACUUCAGACUGCUAUGGGUACGAGGUUGGAUUUCAGUACAGCUUUUCAUCCACAGACUGAUGGUCAAACUGAACGUUUGAACCAAGUUUUAGAGGAUAUGCUACGAGCUUGUGUUAUAGAGUUUCCAGGUAGUUGGGACUCUCAUCUACAUUUGAUGGAGUUUGCUUAUAACAACAGUUUUCAGGCUACCAUCGGUAUAGCACCAUUUGAGGCUUUGUAUGGCAAAUGUUGUAGAACCCCUGUUUUGUUGGAGUGAGGUUGGUGAACAUAGAUUGAUGGGACCUGAAUUAGUUCGGUCUACUAAUGAGGCUAUUCAAAAGAUUAGAGCACUUAUGCAAACAGCGCAGAGUAGACAGAAGAGUUUUAUGCGGAUGUACGGCGCAAAGACCUUAAGUUCGAUGUGGGAGAAAAGGUAUUCUUGAAGGUAGCACCUAUGAAGGGUGUUAUGCGUUUUGAGAAGAAAGGAAAGUUAAGUCCUCGUUUUGUUGGACCAUUUGAGAUCUUAGAGAGGGUUGGUGUUGUGGCGUAUCGCUUGGCAUUACCACCAUCUCUCUCUGCAGUUCAUAAUGUUUUCCAUGUUUCGAUGUUGAGGAAGUAUGUGGCCGAUACAUCUCAUGUAGUAGACUAUGAACCCUUGGAGAUUGAUGAGCAUUUGAGCUAUGUAGAACAACCUGUGGAGAUUCUGGCUAGAGAGGUAAAGAUGCUUCGUAAUAGAAGCAUUCCAUUAGUAAAGGUUUUGUGGCAAAAUCAUCGAAUUGAAGAGGCGACAUGGGAGCGAGAAGAAGAGAUGAGGACUCGUUAUUCAGAGUUAUUUCAGGAUUAGAACUUUCGAGGACGAAAGUUUCUUAAGGGGGGAAGAAUGUAAAGUCCCAAAGGUAAAAAUAUAUAUAAAGGUGGCAAACCGGCGAGGGGCAGGAAGGAAGCGUGAUUGCCAUAGGAAAUGUGUCAUUUUGCUUCCGCUUAUGGUUUCUUUUGAGGUUUAAGAUGUACUAAAACUUAGUUUACAAACUUUUAUUUGUAAAUAGUGUUAUUUUUAAGUUUUCUUGAAUAUUUGAAAAUCAGGCCUGACAUAAAUUGUUUUUAAAUUGACUUACGUUUCAUUUUGUAUCAACCAAAGUCUUUUGUUAAAAAUUAAUGACCUCGACUUACCUAUAAAAGUUGGGUCGUUACAGAUAUAUAUUGAAAUUCAACUAUAAAUUAUGUAGAACUAUAUGUCACUAAAUAUUUAUGUUGUAAAUAAGGUGUAUCUAUAUAUUAAAUCACAUCAUAAACAUAUUAUAAUUUACGAGUAUAUUAUAGUAUAUAUUGUUUAUUUAAAAAAUAUAUGACAAAUAGAAGGUAUAUAAUUAUACGAAGUGAGAAUAUGUAUGUAUGAUAUUCUCACUACAUAUUAUAUAUACACUAAGAAUGUGUAUUUUACUGUUUUAAUAGUAUUUACUAUAUAAAUAUAUAUUUUAAAUAUUAAUUAUUAAUGAAUAUAUAGUUUACUACAUGUUGUUACAACAUACUUAAGAUAUAAAUGUUUAUAUGACUAACAACAUAAUAUUACUAUAAGAUAAACAAAAAAAUAAAGAACAGAUUGAAUUGAAAAAUAUUUUCGAUCAUUGUAUGUCACUAUAUAUGUCUGAUUGUAUAUAUCUCUAAGCAAUAUUACAUAAUGAGGUAGUAUAUAUGUAACAAAUCACAUAAUAUAUAUGUAUUAUGGAGUAGUAUAAAUGUAAUUGUUGAGCAAGAAAUUUCAACCAAUGAAAUUACACCACGUCGUCGCACCCAAGUUGUGAUGAUUAUAAUUUGAUUGGAUUUGGCGUAGUCAAGUUUUCCAACCCAAUUCAAGCCCCUGAUAAAAAAUCAGGCCAAACAAAGGGGCCUAGGCCACUAAGAAAAUGGGCCCAAGCCCAAGUCCAAGCUCAACAACUCAACAAGCAAAUGGGUCCAAGCCCACAUAAAGUCCACAAAUUUUCUCUAUAAGUAGAGACCUUUGUCAUUCAUUCGAGAGAUCUUUUGUUGAAGGAAGAAAUGAAGCUCUGAAGUACUGAAGCUUUGAAGAAUUGAAGAUUCAAACUUCUAUAGAGCUCUCAAGACGUGCAAGUUCUUAUCAACUUCGAGAUCAUCAUCUUCUGAAAUAUUGAAGACUUGGAAGAUCAAAAUUUCCUUGAAUUCCAGAAGACUGAAGCUGAAAUAGACCGAACCAUUUUAAAUUCGGUUUGGACUAUUUGAGACAGCAACAAACUGUGUUUUUUGUUUUGUACAUAAAUGGUGUGGUUUGAUUCGGUUUUAACAAGCGGUUCAAUUUAUACCGUUCAGACUUGAUCUUAUAUAAUGUGAAAUUAUUUUUUUUUUCUUUGAAUUUUUAUCUAAGUGUACUCAAAUUGUAUACCAUGUUACAAAAUUGCAAUAAAUUUUUUAAAAUUUUCAAAAAUAUUAUAAAUUGACUAAUAUUUUAUACAAAUAUAGAGUAAAAAUGACCAAUUUACUCUUUUUAUUAUUUAAUAAUAUAUUAAAAAUAAAAAGAAAAGAGAACCACGUUUAAGAUUUUCAUUUAUUAAAUAUUCUAUGAAAAUAUGGAUUAAAUUCUAUUAAAGUAAUAUUAAUAAUAAAAAUUGUCCUUAGUUUGCUUUUUAUGAUUUUUCUAAAAAAUUGUCCUUUUUUAUUUUGCAUUAUUUUUCAUAUAUUUUAUAUAAUUAUAGUAUAUAUUGAAUAAUAUAAUGUAUAUUUUAUUAGUGAAAUGUUCUUAUAUCAAUUUAUUUAUUUAUUUUAUUUAAAUAUUCAUAUCUUACGUAGUAAAUAAUACAUUAUGUUUGAAAUAAUAUUAAUUAUAAAGGAGAAGAAUGACAUAAUCAAAACGUAAAUGACAAGUUGUAUUGAUAACAUCACCUGUCUAUGUAGUGAUAUAUAUUGAAAUUCAACUAUAAAUUAUGUAGAAUUAUAUGUCACUAAAUAUUUAUGUUGUAAAUAAGGUGUAUCUAUAUAUUAAAUCACAUCAUAAACAUAUUAUAAUUUACGAGUAUAUUAUAGUAUAUAUUGUUCAUUUAAAAAAUAUAUGACAAAUAGAAGGUAUAUAAUUAUACGAAGUGAGAAUAUGUAUGUAUGAUAUUCUCACUGCAUAUUAUAUAUACACUAAGAAUGUGUAUUUUACUGUUUUAGUAGUAUUUACUAUAUAAAUAUAUAUUUUAAAUAUUAAUUAUUAAUGAAUAUAUAUGUAACGACCCAACUUUUCUAAGUAAGUCGAGAUCGUUAAUUUUUAACAAAUAAAGACUUUGAUUAAUAUAAAACAAAACGUAAACAAUUAAAAAAAAAAAACAUCUUCAAGUCAGGCCUGAUUUUUAAACAUUCAAGAAAACAUAAAAUAGUACUAUUUACAACAAACGUUUGUAAACUAAAUUUUAAUUCAUUUUAAACCUCACAAGAACCCAUAAGCGGAGCAAAAACACGUUUCCUAUGGCAUCAUGCUUCCUUCCUGCCCCUCGUCUGUUUGCCGCCUUUAUUACCUUUGCCUGAAAAUUAAACAUAAGAAGGGUGAGUAUUUUAAAUACUCAAUAAGAGACCCUCUACUGGUCCCGUCAGGAGAAAAUAAAUUAUUAACGAUCUAUUGGGACACCCUGUACAGUCACAGUCUUGUGAUCCCGUAGGAUACACAUCUCAGUCUAACGCCCCGAGGGACGUACAUAUAAGUCUAGUGCUUCUGCAGAAACACAUAUCAGUCUAAUGCUCCCGAAGGUGCAAAAUAAAUUGGUGAUCCCGUGGGACACCUACAAGGUACACAUCCCAAUAAAUCUAACAAUUUUCCCCUCAUUCCAUUCAAUCCAUCCUUCAGUUGCUUCAAAACAUAAAAUUUUUUCUCUCAACGUCCUAACAGUCAACUUACUUUACUUUAGUCAUCUGUCCGUCAAUAAUAUACUAAUACGUCAGUCAAUCAACUAUACAGUCAAUACACCCCUCAGUUCACCAGCACACAAUCAUACUUUAGCGUAAUCGUACACCCAAUCUAAACGAGAAUCACAAAGUUUCGUAGCCUACAUCUCAUACCAACACAAUCUACAAUCUUCGUCAUGUCCACAUACACACACUUAUAUAUAUCUUCCAUGACAUUCACGAUAUACAUUGGACGUUAUGUCUACUUCAAUUCACAUGCAUUCAUAUAUAUUUUCAGUCAAACCACAGUAUACAUUCAACACACAUACAGUUCACAAUCACAAUUGAGCCCAGUAGAAAAUCCCUUACCUGAAAGUUAGGGAAGCUCCUUAAUCAACUAACAUCCUAAGCAUAACAACAUAAAAUUCAAUUACUUUCACGAUACAUAUCCCACUUAUUUUCCUCAACGUAAGUUUCAACUCAUCGAUAUAAUGGCGAACUGAACCUUCAACAAUUCACAAUCUGGUUGUGAAUGUAAGGGAGCCUAACGUUACUCCCAACACCUCAACGCCCGACUCGAACUCGCAGCAAAAUCCUAAGUGUGGGUCGGUUAGCGGUCGGCCAAAGGGAACGUGGCGGCUGGGCCUUCACAGAUGGAGACACGUCGCGAACAGACCGCGAAUCUGAACGGUUACAGCAAAUCUGAACGGUUAUACAGCAACUAGUCGGCCGACGUCGAUAGCAGGUGGAGCGGCGGUUGUGAGCGGGGAGCGUGGUCGACGGAGACAGAAUCGGCGAUGGAGACGGCAGAUUGGCGCGCGGGACGACUGCUGCAAGGUUGCUUCGCGAACCGGAGAUGGCGGCCGACGGUUGCAGACGGAGAGGCUGCAGCGGCAGCUGGGUAUGGUAGAAAAGAAAGAGAAACGGAAGAAGAGAAAUUUGGGGUGGCCGGCCGUAGAAAACGAAAAGAAAAGAGGAAGAAAAAAGAAGAAAGAAAAGAGAAAGGAAAAGAGAUGGUUGUGGUCGUACGUUGAACAGGAAGAGAAAGGAAGAAGAUGAAUAGGAAAAGAGAAAAAUAAAAUAAAAUAUUAUAAGUAUAUUUUUUUCUUUCUUUUUCCUUUCUUUUAUUAUUAUUCUUUUUUCUUUUUUUUUCUUAAAAUAGAAUUAUUAAUAAUAAUAAUAUAAUUAUAAUAUAUUAUUAUUACUUUUCUGUUUCCUUUACUUUUCCUCUUCCCAAAACAAACAUUCUCUCUCUUCAUUAAAUACUAUCAAUUCCAACUUUUUAUCCCUUCUUUAAAAUAACAAAAUUUUAGAUUAUUCAAACUAAUUAUAUUAUUUCCAAUAAUAUAAUUUUCUCAUCCUUCCAUAACAUCAAACACAUAUAUCUAUACUCAAAAUCCUAAAAUAAAUUACCAAGAUCAUUCUCUUUUAUUCAUCCAUAACAAUAUAAAAAAAAUCAAUUUUCAUAAUUAAUUAGAUAUUCUUCCAUAAAUAUUCAAUUAAUUAUAAUCUUCACAAAACAAACAAAUCUCUUAAUUUAUCUAAAAUAACACCCAAAUAAUUCCAACUUAAAUUCAAUUCCAUUAAGAUAAAUUAAAUUUAAAAUUACCUUAAAUUUUGGGAUGUUACAAUCUUUCCCUCCUUUUAGAAACUUUCAUCCUUGAAAGUACUAAUUCUCAACAACUCUAUAAUAUCCCUGGGUAAUGAGCUCUCAUAUCAUCUUCUCGUUCUCAUGUCGCUUCUUUAACUCGAUGAUUCUGCCACAAUACUUUUACUAAUGAAAUUCCUCUAUUACGAAGCAUCAUCACUUCUCUAACCAGAAUCUCAACUGGUUGCACCACAUAGCUCAAAUUCUCGUCAAUCUCUAGUGGUUCAUAGUCCACUACAUGAGAUGGAUCUGCCACAUACUUUCUCAACAUCGAAACAUGGAAAACAUGGAAAACAUUAUGAAUUGCAGAGAGAAAUGGAGAGAGAAAUGGUGGUAAUGCUAAACGAUAUGCCACAACACCAAUUCUCUUUAAAAUCUCAAACGGUCCAACAAAACGAGGAUUUAACUUCACUUUCUUCUCAAAAUGCAUAACAUCCUUCAUAGUUGCUACCUGCAAGAACACCUUAUCUCCCACAUCAAACUCAAGGUUCUUUCACCUCAGAUCUGCAUAACUUUUUUUUUUCUACUUUGCGUUGUUUGCAUAAGUACUCUAAUAUUCUGAAUAAACUCAUUAGUAGACUAAACCAACUCAUAACCCAUCAAUCUCUGUUCACCAACCUCAUUCCAACAAACAGAAGUUCUACAACAUUUACCAUACAAAGCUUCAAACGGUGUCAUGCCAAUGGUAACCUGAAAACUGUUAUUAUAAGCAAACUCCAUCAAAUGUAAGUGAGAGUCCCAACUACCUGGAAACUCUAGAACACAAGCUCGUAGCAUAUCCUCUAAAACUUGGUUCAAACGUUCAGUUUGGCCAUCAGUCUGUGGGUGAAAGGUUGUACUAGAAAUCUAACCUCGUUCCCAUGGCAGUCUAAAGUCCCUUCCAAAACUUGGAAGUAAAAAGUGCAUCUCUGUUAGAGACAAUCAAUACGGGCACUCCAUGUAGUCUCACAAUCUCAAUCAAAUAUAAUUAUGCUCAUUUACUAGUAGUAUAAGUGGAUUUUUUUUUUUUUGAAAUGAAAUGUGUCGAUUUCGUAAGCCUAUCGACAAUAACCCAAAUCACUGUGUAACCCUUCAGGGUUUUAGGCAAUUAUAUAAUAAAAUUCAUAGAUACAUUCUCCCACUUCCACUCUAAUAUACUCAAAGGUUGCAACAAACCUGUUGGUUUCUAUCUUGGUGCUUUAACCUGCUAGCACACCAAGCACUUACUAAAAAGAUCUUCCAUUUCUCUCUUCAUAUUACGCUAGUAACAAACUCUUUUCAGAUCCGGAUACAUUUUUGUGCUACUUGGAUGCAUGAGAAAUGGGAAACUAUGAGUCUCAACCAAUAACGUUGUCUUAAUUGCAUUUUCUGUUGGCUCACAUAAUUCUCUCUCAAACAUAAGUUCAUCAUCAAAGGAUAUGGAAAACUCCUUAACUUGCCCUACUUCUACUAGGCAAUGCUUCUCAAUCAAAUAAGGAUCAAUGAAUUGAACCACAAGAAUUCUUUGUCUCAAGAUCGGAUGUACUGACAACUGAGCUAACUGUGAGGUGACUUCCCCCACUAAAACUACAAUCUCAGCUCUCUCGUGGUUUUUGUCUAAUGAAACCUGUCUGGUAAUAAGUGCUGUCAAAAUGUGAUACUUUUCUACAAAGAGCACCAACUUCCACAUUCGCCUUACCUAGAUGGUACAAAAUCUCACAAUCAUAGUCAUUUACUAACUGAAACCAUCUUUGCUAUCUCAUACUCAACUUCUUUUUGAGUGAAAAAGUAUUUUAUACUCUUUUGGUUAGAAAAUAUCUAUAUCUUUUCAUCAUACAUAUAGUGCCUUCAAAUCAUUAAUGUAAAAACCACAACUGUCAAUUCCAUAUCAUAAGUUGGACAAUUUUCCUCAUGACUCUUCAACUGACGAGGAGUACAAGCAACUACUUUAACUUGUUGAAUCAUAAUACCUUUUUAAACUUUCCUAAAAGCAUCACUAUAAAUUACGAAACUUUCUGAACCAUCAUGUACGGUAAGCACGGGAGUUGUACAAGCUUCUGCUUAAGAUUCUGAACACUAUCCUCAUAGGCUUUGUCCCAAACAAACAGAGUCCCUUUUCUUAGUUAACUGAGUCAAAGGAGUAGCUAUACGAGAAAAUUCUUAUACAAACCGUUAGUAAUAACCUGCUGAACCCAAAAAGACUACGAACCUCACUGACUAUGAAAGGUUGAGGCUAACUGGUAACGACUUCAAUCUUUUAUGAGAUCCACAUAAAUGUCAUCUCUAGAUACCACAUGGCUUGGAAAGAUACUUGGCCUCAUCCAAAACUCACAUUUUGAAAACUUUGCAUACAAUUUGUUGACUCGAAGAGCCUCUAAAACCAUGUUAAAUGCUCCUCAUGCGCUGUCUCUAUUUUGGAAUAAAUUAAGAUAUCGUCAAUAGAUACAAUCACGAAAGUGUCUAAGAGAUCGUUAAACACUUUGUUCAUCAAGUCGUAAACAUUGUUUGAGCAUUUGCCAACUCAAAAGACAUCAUAAUGAACUCAUGAUGUCCAUAUCACGAACGAAAAUCUGCCAUAGGAAUGUCACUGUUCUCUAAUCCUCAACAAGUCAUAACCUUAAUGUAAUUCAAUCUUAAAAAACACGGACUUAUUGCAGUUGAUCAAACAAAUCCUCAUUCAUUGGUAAAAGAUAUUUAUUCUUAACCGACACCUUAUUCAACUUUCUACAAUCAAAACAUAAGUGCAUCGACCCAUCUUUCUUCUUAAUAAACAAAAAUUGGUGCACCCCAAGAUAACAUACUUCGUCGAAUGUAGUCCUUGUCAAACAUUUCUUUCAAUUGCACCUUCAAAUCUUUCAACUCUGUUGGGGCCAUUUUGUAUGAAGCUUUAGAUAUAGGAACGAGUCUAACUCUAUCUCAAUAGCAAGACCAAUUUCUGUUUAGCGCGGUAAUCUUAGAAACUCUUCUAGAAAAAUAUCAUAAUACUUUUUCACCACUAAUUCAAAUAACAAAGAAACAUCGACUUCUCUGGUGUCUACCACACUAGUCAAAUACAACAGGUACCCUGGUCAAGCAACUUACUAACCUUCAUAGCUGGGAUAACUUUUAGCGAAACGAUAGUUCCAACCUCUUUGUACUUGAAACUAGCCUCUGGAGAAGGAUUAGAAACUACAUUUGCGCUGAACAUUUUAUGUUUACAUGGUUAAACUACAUUCCAAUUUUCAAACUCCAAACUAGUAACUUUUCAUUCACGAGAAACUCAAAAUUGUUUCUUAAAGUCACAUCAAGACAACCAUGCUCAUCUUCCUUGUUUCUUUUCCAAUACCUCCAUUCUAAAACCAUUUAAUGUGUUUCGUAUAAACUUGACCGUGUAUUUAGUCCUCGUUAAAACCACCUACAUAACGUAUUUUUCUUAGAUUUCCAAUCACAAAACAGACAAUUUCGCUAACAACGUCUUACUUUUCUACUACUCGACCACUCCUUUGAACACCUCUACAUGACAACAUUUUUCCUAAAUUUCACCAUUAAAUCUUUCACCAUUAAAUCAGAACAUUCAUGUAAUUCUAGUUUAACUUAGGCAAGGUCAUAUACAUAAACCAUACAUAUAAGCAUAAAGCAUACCUGACGAGAGACGAAGGGUCGCGUUAGCCAUAGGGACACAAAAACAUAGACUUACAUCGUAAGUCGGUCUACAGAACCUAAAACUUAGGCUCUGAUACCAACUGUAACGAUCCAACUUUUCUAAGUAAGUCGAGAUCGUUAAUUUUUAACAAAUAAAGACUUUGAUUAAUAUAAAACAAAAUGUAAACAAUUAAAAAAAAAAACAUCUUCAAGUCAGGCCUGAUUUUUAAACAUUCAAGAAAACAUAAAAUAGUACUAUUUACAACAAACGUUUGUAAACUAAAUUUCAAUUCAUUUUAAACCUCACAAGAACCCAUAAGCGGAGCAAAAACACGUUUUCUAUGGCAUCACGCUUCCUUCCUGCCCCUCGCCUGUUUGCCGCCUUUAUUACCUUUGCCUGAAAAUUAAACAUAAGAAGGGUGAGUAUUUUAAAUACUCAGUAAGAGACCCUCUACUGGUCCCGUCAGGAGAAAAUAAAUUAUUAACGAUCUAUUGGGACACCCUGUACAGUCACAGUCUUGUGAUCCCGUAGGAUACAUAUCUCAGUCUAACGCCCCGAGGGACGUACAUAUCAGUCUAACGCCCCGAGGGACGUACAUAUCAGUCUAGUGUUCUGCCAGAAACACAUAUCAGUCAAAUGCUCCCGAAGGUGCACAAUAAAUUGGUGAUCCCGUGGGACACCUACAAGGUAAACAUCCCAAUACAAUCUAACAAUUUAUCCCCUCAUUCCAUUCAACCCAUCUUUCAGUUACUUCAAGUCACAAAAGUUAUUUCUUUCAACAUCCUAACAGUCAACUUAUUUUACUACAGUCAUAUGUCUGUCAAUAAUAUGCUAAUACAUCAGUCAAUCCACUAUACAGUCAAUGCACCCCUCAGUUCACCAGCACACAGUCAUACUUUAGCGUAAUCAUACACCCAAUCUAAACGAGAAUCUCAUACAAACACAAUCUCUACAAUCUCCGUCUUGUCCACAUACACACAUUUAUAUAUAGAUUCCAUGACAAUCACCGACAUACAUUCGACGUCAAGUCUACUUCAAUUCAUAUACAUUCAUAUAUAUUUUCAAGUCAACCCCAGUAUACAUUCAACACACAUACAGUUCACAAUCACAGUUCACAAUCACAAUUGAGUCCAGUAGAAAAUCCCUUACCUGGAUCUUUAUGUAAAAUUCCUUAGUCGAACUAACUUCAACAAACAAACCCCAAGAGUAAAGAAUCGAACUCCAACAAAGCUUAAGGCGUAACUCAAGGACACUAACUCCAAAUCACCGAUGUCGCCUUCAAGAACAAAGAUCAAUUCAACCAAUUAAACAACAUCACAUCUUAAUGUAUUUACAAAUGUAAGACCAUAUUACCGAACAAUCUCAUCCUUACCAAUAUCUUGUAACAAGACUUUGACAAUCGACGUUAAAUAGAAGUUCCCGCAGGAUCUACACAAAAGACAUCGUGCAAAACACUUUUGCACGCGAACUGGUCCGCGAUUCGUAAAUGGGACAGCGGGUAUCGACGAAGGCAGAACGGUUCGGACGUUCAACAGCAGUUACGCGCGGACGGGAGUAGCCCGGCAACGUAGCCGAAUUCGUGCGAUGCGGCAUGACCUGCGCGUCGGCGAGGCUGUUCGUGACUGAGGCGUGCGACUUGCCUCGCGGACGGAGAUAGAGACGGCGGAGACGGUUGCAGAACCGUGGCUUCGACAGAGACAGAACCGGCUGAGACGGCUGGGCAGCGGCGGAAGAGCAACGGCGCCGCAGAUCUGGACUGGCAACGGCGCGAUCUUGCUUCGCGGCUGGGCUGCGGACGGAAGAAGAAAGUGGAAGGAAAGGACUGGCGGCUGGCUGCGACUGGCUGCGAUUGGCUGCGGCGGGACGGGAAGAAGAAGAUAGAGGUGGUGGUUGCGGCGGAAAGAAAAACGGAAGGGAAGGGAGGCGACGGUUUGCGAACGGGAGAGAAGGGGGAAGGGAUCGACGCGCACGCAGAAGAAGAAGGGAGAAAAGAAAAGAAAAAGAAAAAGAAGAAAAGUAAAAUAAUAAAGAAAUUUUGUAAUAUUAAAAUAAUAUAUAAAUAAAAUAAAAUAUAUAUAUAUAUAUAUAUAUAUAUAUAUAUAUAUAUAUAUAUAUAUAUAUAUAUAUAUUUACCUUUUCUUUGGGCAUUACAAUCUUCCCUCCUUAAGAAACUUUCGUCCUCGAAAGUUCUAAUCCUGAAAUAACUCUGAAUAACGAGUCCUCAUCUCUUCUUCUCGCUCCCAUGUCGCCUCUUCAAUUCGAUGUUUCUGCCACAAAACCUUUACUAAUGGAAUGCUUCUAUUACGAAGCAUCUUUACCUCUCUAGCCAGAAUCUCCACAGGUUGUUCUACAUAGCUCAAAUGCUCAUCAAUCUCCAAGGGUUCAUAGUCCACUACAUGAGAUGUAUCGGCCACAUACUUCCUCAACAUCGAAACAUGGAAAACAUUAUGAACUGCAGAGAGAGAUGGUGGUAAUGCCAAGCGAUACGCCACAACACCAACCCUCUCUAAGAUCUCAAAUGGUCCAACAAAACGAGGACUUAACUUUCCUUUCUUCUCAAAACGCAUAACACCCUUCAUAGGUGCUACCUUCAAGAAUACCUUUUCUCCCACAUCGAACUUAAGGUCUUUUCGCCGUACAUCCGCAUAACUCUUCUGUCUACCCUGCGCUGUUUGCAUACGUGCUCUAAUCUUUUGAAUAGCCUCAUUAGUAGACCGAACUAAUUCAGGUCCCACCAAUCUAUGUUCACCAACCUCACUCCAACAAACAGGGGUUCUACAACAUUAGCCAUACAAAGCCUCAAAUGGUGCCAUACCGAUGGUAGCCUAGAAACUAUUGUUAUAAGCAAACUCCAUCAAAUGUAGAUGAGAGUCCCAACUACCUGGAAACUCUAUAACACAAGCUCGUAGCAUAUCCUCUAAAACUUGGUUCAAACGUUCAGUUUGACCAUCAGUCUGUGGAUGAAAGGCUGUACUGAAAUCCAAUCUCGUACCCAUAGCAGUCUGAAGUCCCUUCCAAAACUUGGAAGUAAACCGUGCAUCCCUAUCAGAAACAAUCGAUACAGGUACUCCAUGCAGUCUCACAAUCUCAGUUAAAUACAACUCUGCCCACUUACUAGCAGUAUAAGUGGAUUUUCCUGGUACAAAAUGUGCCGAUUUCGUAAGCCUGUCUAUGACAACCAGAAUCACUGUGAAACCCUUCAGGGUCUUAGGCAGCCCUGAAAUAAAAUCCAUCGACACAUUCUCCCACUUCCACUCUGGCACACUUAAAGGUUGUAACAAACCUGCUGGUUUCUGUCUAGGUGCCUUAACUUGCUGACAUACUAGACACUUACUAACAAAUUCCGCCACUUCCCUUUUCAUAUUCCGCCACCAAUAAAAUCGUUUUAGAUCCUGAUACAUUUUCGUGCUACCAGGAUGCAUGGAAAAUGGGGAAUUAUGGGCUUCAUCUAGUAAGUCAAUCUUAACUGUACUGUUCGCUGGCACACAUAAACGUCUCUCAAACAUCAACCCACCAUCAGAGGAUAUGGAGAACUCAUCAGUCUGCCCUGUUUCAACAAGGCGACGUCUCUCCAUCAAAUAAGGAUCACUACUCUUAGCAUCAACAAUCUUCUGCCUCAGAGUCGGUUACACCGUUAAUUGAGCUAGCUGUGAGGUGACUCUCCCCACAGACACAGCAAUCUCAGCUCUCUCCAAGUCUCGAUGUAACUGUACCUGUCUAGUAAUGAGUGCUGUCGAAUGUGAUACUUUUCUACUAAGAGCAUCAGCCACCACAUUCGCCUUACCAGGAUGGUACAAUAUCUCACAGUCAUAAUCUUUUACCAACUCGAGCCACCUUCGCUGUCUCAUAUUCAACUCCUUCUGAGUGAAGAAGUACUUUAGGCUCUUAUGGUCAGUAAAGAUUUGUAUCUUUUCACCGUACAAGUAAUGUCUCCAUAUCUUCAAUGCAAAAACCACUGCUGCCAACUCCAAAUCAUGUGUGGGGUAGUUCUGCUCGUGACUCUUCAACUGACGAGAGGCAUAAGCAACCACCUUACCUUUCUGCAUCAAAACACAACCCAGUCCUUUCUUGGAAGCAUCACUGUAAAUCACAAAACUUCCAGAUCCAUCUGGUACAGUAAGGACCGGUGCAGUAACUAACCUUUGCUUUAAGUUCUGAAAACUAUCCUCACAAGCUGGACUCCAAACAAACGGAGUUCCCUUCCUUGUCAACUGAGUCAAGGGAGUAGCCAAACGUGAAAAAUCCUCCACAAACCUCCGGUAGUACCCUGCUAAACCCAGAAAACUACGAACCUCACUAACUGUAGAGGGUCGAGACCAACUGGUAACCGCUUCUAUCUUUGCAGGGUCUACUGAAACUCCCUCACUGGAAACCACAUGACCAAGAAAAGCCACCUGCUUCAACCAAAAUUCGCACUUAGAGAACUUAGCAUACAGUUUAUUGACUCGAAGAGUCUCUAACACCUUAUGUAAGUGUUCCUCAUGUUCGGCUUCAGUCUUGGAAUAAACCAAAAUAUCAUCAAUGAAGACUAUCACAAAAGUGUCCAAGAAAUCCUUAAACACCCUGUUCAUCAAAUCCAUAAAUACAGCAGGUGCAUUAGUCAAACCAAAAGACAUUACUAUGAAUUCAUAAUGUCCAUACCUCGAACGAAAAGUCUUAGGAAUAUCACGGUCUCUAAUCCUCAACUGGUGAUAACCUGACCGUAAGUCAAUCUUAGAGAACACCGUGGCUCCCUGUAACUGAUCGAACAAAUCAUCGAUUCUGGGUAAAGGAUAUCUGUUCUUGACUGUUACUUUAUUCAACUCUCUAUAGUCAAUGCAAAGACGCAUCGACCCAUCCUUCUUCUUCACAAACAAUACUGGUGCACCCCAAGGUGACACACUAGGUCGAAUAAAGCCUUUGUCAAGCAAUUCCUGUAACUGUACCUUCAGUUCUUUCAACUCAGCAGGAGCCAUCCUAUAAGGGGCUCUAGAAAUAGGAGUAGUGUUUGGCUCCAACUCAAUGGCAAAAUCAACCUCUCUAUGUGGCGGUAGUCCUGGAAGAUCUUUUGGAAAUACAUCUGGGUAGUCUCUUACCACAGGUUCUGAAGUUAAAGAAGUCUCACCUUCCCUAGUAUCCACCACACUUGCCAAAAUACUCCAAGUACCCUGGUUGAGUAGUUUACUAGCUUUCAUAGCUGAGAUUACUUUAGGCAGUACUACUGUUCCUACCCCCUUGAAUUUAAAGCUAGAUGCAGUAGGGGGACUGAACACAACUUCCUUACGAGAACAAUCAAUACUAGCAUGAUUAGUAGCUAGCCAAUCCAUACCUAAAAUUACAUCAAAGUCACGCAUAUCUAAUACCAACAAGGUUACGUCCAGCACACGACCAGCUAUCUCAAUUUCACAUGCUUUAAUCUUUUCCUUAGACAACAUAAUUUCUCCAGACGGUGUAGACACUGACAAAACAUAGUCUAAGGGUUCCACCUCUAAGCAUGCAUGCGUCACAAAAAGCGAUGAAAUAAAUGAAUGAGAAGAUCCCGAGUCAAACAAGGUCAAGGCAAAAUGCCCUAACACUGGUAAUGUACCUGUCACUACUGUGCCGGCCUUCUCUGCCUCUGAUCUAUUAGUGGCAAAGAUUGUACCCCGCUGUGGAGGUCUCUCUCCCUGACUGCUCGAUCCAGCCCCAGUAGAUCUCAAGGGACACCUAUCAGCCAUGUGUCCCUCUUGCUUGCACUUAUAACAGACUCUCGUUCCCAUCAAACAACGACCCAGGUGGCGUUUCCCACACGUAUUACAUACUGGCCUCUCUCGAGUAGUGUCUCCUGCACCGCCAGAACUCUGCUGGAAACUGCGAAAAGGAUCGCCUGGUCUCAAGUUCCUCUGAGGAACUCCUACAGUUCUCUGCUCUACUUUUCUCUUUUGACCCGACGACGAUCCCUUAUCAAAGCUCCUUGGCUGUCUUUCAUCCUUCCCAAUACUCAUAUCCACUGCCAGACGCAGUGCUUCAGCUUGGGUAGUGGGCUUUAGUGCUCGCACAAAGCCCCUAAUUUCAUCUCUCAAUCCCUUGACGAACCUAUCAGCUCUAGCCUGCUCAUUACUAACAAGCUCAGGGGCAAAACGUGACAGCAUAUCAAACUCCUGGUCGUACUCCUCGACUGUCAUAUAUCCUUGCUUCAACUCCAAGAAUUCCUGGCUUUUGGCGUCUCUAAGGUUAGCCGAGAAAAACUUGGUAUAGAAGCAGUCCUUAAACUGAUCCCAGGUAAUCUGCCUCACAUCUCCACCUAGCAUGCGCAUUGUAGUCCUCCACCAGAUAAUGCCUCUGUCCCUCAGUAGAAAAGCAGCACACUGAACUCUGUGCUCCUCGGGACAUCUCAUGUAAUUAAAUAUGGUUUCCACAGAGGACAACCACAUUUCAGCUUUAGUAGGAUCCUCCAGUGACCCAUCAAACGUCUGAGGGUCAUACUUCCGAAAGUCCCUCAAAUGUUUCGCCUCAGCAGAAAGUUGGUUAGGUAAUUCUUGUGCAGGAGGGGCUGCUGGUGCAGGGGGAACUACAGGUGCAGGUGGAACUGCAGGUGCCUGCUGGUUUUGAGCUAUAGCUGUCAUAAGUUCUGUAAACCUCUGCUCCAUGUGAGCAGACAGUGCAUCAAACUCAACGUGAGUCACGGGUGCAGCAGGAAUUCGCUGUUCAGCUUGACCCUCAGUAGGCUGAUUACGACCUGCUCCUCUACCUCGGCCUCCUGCUCUCCUCUACCUCGGCCUCUACGACCUCCUCUACGUACACCUUCCCUUGGCGGCAUAAUUCCUAUUAUCCACCAACAACACUCUUUAACAAAAUCUUAAUCAUAAGCAUAAGCAAGUCUUUAUCGUCAUGCAAUCUAGUUUAAUUUAGGCAAGGUCAUGCAAAUAAACCAUACAUAUAAGCAUCAAGCAUACCUGACGAGAGACGAAGGGUCGCGUUAGCCAUAAGAACACAAAAACAUAGACUUACAUCGUAAGUCAGUCUACAUAACCUAAAACUUAGGCUCUGAUACCAACUGUAACGACCCAACUUUUCUAAGUAAGUCGAGAUCGAUAAUUUUUAACAAAUAAAGACUUUGAUUAAUAUAAAACAAAACGUAAACAAUUAAAAAAAAAAAAUCAUCUUCAAGUCAGGCCUGAUUUUUAAACAUUCAAGAAAACAUAAAAUAGUACUAUUUACAACAAACGUUUGUAAACUAAAUUUCAAUUCAUUUUAAACCUCACAAGAACCCAUAAGCGGAAGCAAAAACACGUUUCCUAUGGCAUCAUGUUUCCUUCCUGCCCCUCGCCUGUUUGCCGCCUUUAUUACCUUUGCCUGAAAAUUAAACAUAACAAGGGUGAGUAUUUAAAUACUCAGUAAGAGACCCUCUACUGGUCUCGUCAGGGGAAAAUAAAUUGUUAAAGUUCUAUUGGGACACCCUGUACAGUCGCAGUCUUGUGAUCCCGUAGGAUACACAUCUCAGUCUAACGCCCCGAGGGACGUACAUAUCAGUCUAACGCCCCGAGGGACGUACAUAUCAGUCUAGUGUUCUGCAGAAACACAUAUCAGUCAAAUGCUCCCGAAGGUGCACAAUAAAUUGGUGAUCCCGUGGGACACCUACAAGGUAAACAUCCCAAUACAAUCUAACAAUUUAUCCCCUCAUUCCAUUCAACCCAUCUUUCAGUUACUUCAAGUCACAAAGUUCUUUCUUUCAACAUCCUAACAGUCAACUUAUUUUACUACAGUCAUAUGUCUGUCAAUAAUAUGCUAAUACAUCAGUCAAUCCACUAUACAGUCAAUGCACCCCUCAGUUCACCAGCACACAGUCAUACUUUAGCGUAAUCAUACACCCAAUCUAAACGAGAAUCUCAUACAAACACAAUCUACAAUCUCCGUCCUGUCCACAUACACACAUUUAUAUAUAGAUUCCAUGACAAUCACGACAUACAUUCGACGUCAAGUCUACUUCAAUUCAUAUACAUUCAUAUAUAUUUUCAGUCAACCCCAGUAUACAUUCAACACACAUACAGUUCACAAUCACAGUUCACAAUCACAAUUGAGUCCAGUAGAAAAUCCCUUACCUGGAUCUUUAUGUAAAAUUCCUUAGUCGAACUAACUUCAACAAACAAACCCCAAGAGUAAAGAAUCGAACUCCAACAAAGCUUAAGGCGUAACUCAAGGACACUAACUCCAAAUCACCGAUGUCACCUUCAAGAACAAAGAUCAAUUCAACCAAUUAAACAACAUCACAUCUUAAUGUAUUUACAAAUGUAAGACCUUAUUACCGAACAAUCUCAUCCUUACCAAUAUCUUGUAACAAGACUUUGACAAUCGACGUUAAAUAGAAGUUGCCGCAGGAUCUACACAAAAGACAUCGUGCAAAACACUUUUGCACGCGAACUGGUCCGCGAUUCGUAAAUGGGACAGCGGGUAUCGACGAAGGCAGAACGGUUCGGACGUUCAACAGCAGUUACGCGCGGACGGGAGUAGCUCGGCAACGUAGCCGAAUUCGUGCGAUGCGGCGUGACCUGCGUCGGCGAGGCUGUUCGUGACUGAGGCGUGUGACUUGCCUCGCGGACGGAGAUAGAGACGGCGGAGACGGUUGCAGAACCGUGGCUUCGACAGAGACAGAACCGGCUGAGACGGCUGGGCAGCGGCGGAAGAGCAACGGCGCCGCAGAUCUGGACUGGCAAUGGCGCGAUCUUGCUUCGCGACGGGGCUGCGGACGGAAGAAGAAAAUGGAAGGAAAGGACCGGCGGCUGGCUGCGGUUGGCUGCGGCGGGACGGGAAGAAGAAGAUAGAGGUGGUGCUUGCGGCGGAAAGAAAAACGGAAAGAAAGGGAGGCGACGGUUUGCGAACGGGAGAGAAGGGGGAAGGGAUCGGCGCGCACGCAGAAGAAGAAGGGAGAAAAGAAAAGAAAAAGAAAAAGAAGAAAAGAAAAAUAAUAAAGAAUUUUUUUAAUAUUAAAAUAAUAUAUAUAAAAAUAAAUAAAUAUAUAUAUAUAUAUAAUAUAUAUAUAUAUAUAUAUAUAUUUACCUUUUCUUUGGGCAUUACAGGUUCGGUUUCAAUGAAGAUUUUUUUUAUCAUUUUGCGGUUCGAUUCGGUUUUAGCUUCAAACCGAACCGCGAACACCACUAAUAUGUAAUGUUGAGAUCAACUGAAUAUGUUUGUAAUGUAGGGACUUUGAUGAAAGAAUUGAAAAUUCAGGAAAUUGUAUGAAAAAAAAUGGUUGAAUGUUAAAUUGACUUAUGAAUAGUGUAUAUGAAACAAUACAUUAUAUAUUUUAUGAAUGAAAUGUUAUGCAAUCAAUUUGUUAAAUUGGUUUAUUUAUUUUAUUUCAAAUAUUUAUUUUAUAUGUAAUAAAUAAUAAGUUAUGUUUGAAACAGCAGUAUAAGGAUAUAUCAUAAUAUAUAUUGUUCAUUUAAGGUUAGUAAGAAUUUUAUAUUUUGUAUUUGAAAUAUACUAUGAUAUAUUGAGUACAUCAAAGAUGACAUCAUUUAUGUACUAUUGAAAAUAUGAAGUAGUAUAUAUAUGUAACAAAUCACAUAAGAUAUAUGUAUCAUGUACUAGUAUAUACGUCAUUAUUUAUAUAUACACACCUAAUGAAAAAAAGUAGAGUGUGUGGGACCCACGUAUAUAAAUAAUGAGAAAAUAAAAAAUGUUGGCCCAAUGUAAUAUAUAUAUAUAAGUAAAAAAUAAACUAUGUAGGGUCCACUGCAUGAAAAUUGUGUAGGGGUACAAAACUUCACCUCAACUCACCUAUUUUUGUCAAUAGUUUUGCAUUCACCUACUUUUGACAUAUGUUUCAAAAUUUACAUUAUUUUUUAAAAAAAGUUCUAUACAUAAUAAAUAAUAACUCGUGAUUGAAACAAGAGUGGUUAUGUAUGAAGGAUAGUAUAUUAAAUAUAAUAAAUUGAAAAACUUUGAUUGGUACCGUAGAUGAAAAUUUAUGAAAAAAUAUAGAAAUAAAAUAACUAAAUUUAAAACUGAAAUAUGAAUAUUUCAAAUAAAAGUAUAAAUCAACAUACUAAAAGUUUAAUAAUAAGAAAGAAAAAUUAGUUCAAUAAGGAAAGCUUGCAUCUCUUUCGUUUAUGACAACCACAUUUAAAACUUCAUUUUAGAAUGAAUUCUAAUAUUUUUUUGUUGACCAACUGAACGUUUUACAUUCAAUGGGAUGAUGUCAACUUCAAUUACUGUAUUAUUGAAUAUAUGCAUUAGUAUGUAUGUAACAAAUCAAAUAAAAUACUAAUCGAAUAUAGAAAAAUAUAAAGAAAAUGACACAAAACGUGAAGGAAAAAAACUGAACUAUAUAUGUGUCACAAAAUACGUGUUAUUAUAUUUAUAUAAAUGUAUAUAUUGAUAACAUCACCUGUCUAUGUAGUGAUAUAUAUUGAAAUUCAACUAUAAAUUAUGUAGAACUAUAUGUCACUAAAUAUUUAUGUUGUAAAUAAGGUGUAUCUAUAUAUUAAAUCACAUCAUAAACAUAUUAUAAUUUACGAGUAUAUUAUAGUAUAUAUUGUUCAUUUAAAAGAUAUAUGACAAAUAGAAGGUAUAUAAUUAUACGAAGUGAGAAUAUGUAUGUAUGAUAUUCUCACUACAUAUUAUAUAUACACUAAGAAUGUGUAUUUUACUGUUUUAGUAGUAUUUACUAUAUAAAUAUAUAUUUUAAAUAUUAAUUAUUAAUGAAUAUAUAGUUUACUACAUGUUGUUACAACAUACUUAAGAUAUAAAUGUUUAUAUGACUAACAACAUAAUAUUACUAUAAGAUAAACAAAAAAAUAAAGAACAGAUUGAAUUGAAAAAUAUUUUCGAUUAUUGUAUGUCACUAUAUAUGUCUGAUUGUAUAUAUCUCUAAGAAAUAUUACAUAAUGAGGUAGUGUAACGACCCAACUUUUCUAAGUAAGUCGAGAUCGUUAAUUUUUAACAAAUAAAGACUUUGAUUAAUAUAAAACAAAACGUAAACAAUUAAAAAAAAAACAUCUUCAAGUCAGGCCUGAUUUUUAAACAUUCAAGAAAACAUAAAAUAAUACUAUUUACAACAAACGUUUGUAAACUAAAUUUCAAUACAUUUUAAACCUCACAAGAACCCAUAAGCGGAAGCAAAAACACGUUUCCUAUGGCAUCAUGUUUCCUUCCUGCCCCUCGCCUGUUUGCCGCCUUUAUUACCUUUGCCUGAAAAUUAAACAUAACAAGGGUGAGUAUUUAAAUACUCAGUAAGAGACCCUCUACUGGUCUCGUCAGGGGAAAAUAAAUUGUUAAAGUUCUAUUGGGACACCCUGUACAGUCGCAGUCUUGUGAUCCCGUAGGAUACACAUCUCAGUCUAACGCCCCGAGGGACGUACAUAUCAGUCUAACGCCCCGAGGGACGUACAUAUCAGUCUAACGCCCCGAGGGACGUACAUAUCAGUCUAGUGUUCUGCAGAAACACAUAUCAGUCUAAUGCUCCCGAAGGUGCACAAUAAAUUGGUGAUCCCGUGGGACACCUACAAGGUAAACAUCCCAAUACAAUCUAACAAUUUUCCCCUCAUUCCAUUCAACCCAUCUUUCAGUUACUUCAAGUCACAAAGUUCUUUCUUUCAACAUCCUAACAGUCAACUUAUUUUAAUACAUCAGUCAAUCCACUAUACAGUCAAUGCACCCCUCAGUUCACCAGCACACAGUCAUACUUUAGCGUAAUCAUACACCCAAUCUAAACGAGAAUCUCAUACAAACACAAUCUACAAUCUCCGUCCUGUCCACAUACACACAUUUAUAUAUAGAUUCCAUGACAAUCACGACAUACAUUCGACGUCAAGUCUACUUCAAUUCAUAUACAUUCAUAUAUAUUUUCAGUCAACCCACAAUAUACAUUCAACACACAUACAGUUCACAAUCACAGUUCACAAUCACAAUUGAGUCCAGUAGAAAAUCCCUUACCUGGAUCUUUAUGUAAAAUUCCUUAGUCGAACUAACUUCAACAAACAAACCCAAAGAGUAAAGAAUCGAACUCCAACAAAGCUUAAGGCGUAACUCAAGGACACUAACUCGAAAUCACUGAUGUCGCCUUCAAGAACAAAGAUCAAUUCAACCAAUUAAACAACAUCACAUCUUAAUGUAUUUACAAAUGUAAGACCUUUUUACCAAACAAUAUCAUCCUUACCAAUAUCUUGUAACAAGACUUUGACCAUCGACGUUAAAUAGAAGUUGCCGCAGGAUCUACACAAAAGACAUCGUGCAAAACACUUCUGCACGCGAACCGGUCCGCAAUUCGUAAAUGGGACAGCGGGUAUCGACGAAGGCAGAACGAUUCGGACGUUCAACAUCAGUUACGCGCGGACGGGAGUAGCCCGGCAACGUAGCCGAACUCGUGCGAUGCGGCGUGACCUGCGUCGGCGAGGCUGUUCGUGACUGAGGCGUGCGACUUGCCUCGCGGAUGGAGAUAGAGACGGCGGCUGGGUUCGGCUUCGACGGAGACAGAACCGACGAUGGAGAUGGCAGAUCGGCACGCGGGCUGCAGCUGGGCUGCGGUGGGAAGAGGAACGGAGAUGGCCGGCGGCGGUUGCUGCGCGAACGGAGAGAAGGGGAAGGUGGGUCGCACGGCGCACGGGAGGAGAAGAGAAAUAGGGAAAAGAAAAGAAAAAGGAAAAAG
rnacentral:lncRNA from 1 species